ACUUAAGGUUACGGUCAACCGUUUGCUCAUUAAUUAUUCAUGAGCUAGAUCUAGUGAUCUUUUCCAGCUAGAAUGAGCUGGAAGUCCAGCUGAAACGCAGUAGUCAUUUCAUGGCUCAAAUAGACAUUUUUACUGUAAAGCUUAGGUACAGUCUACUGUAGCUUCACUAUAUGCAGGGCGGGUCGAAGAGAUAUUUUGAAAAAAGGCUACUGAAAGCUCACAAGAGGCUGUUUUCCUUGGCUCUGGCCGCCAUUUUAAGUGGAGUUAGUCUACAUAUUAUUAUUUUGUGAGAGUUUGUUGGCCUGGAAAGAAAAAAACGCUUCGACCCGCCCUCCAGAAUGGUAAGAAGCAUCAUAUAAGACCAAGAACACAGAGCUAGAAGUGUUUUUGGAAGUUUAAAAUGACUACUAGUUUUGUGUUGUUUCUAGUAACUUGAUGAUCGCUCAGAGCUUCCACUGGAAGAUGUUUUGAAGAUUGAUACUUGUCAUACAGAUUGAUACACCGAUAUAUUUAUCAUAGACUUUUUGGAUGCUGAAGCUGUAGCAAAUGGUGACCAGGUGUUUGAAUGGGAAAAGUGGACAUUCCAAAUAGCAAAGGAUAUUCCCGAGCAGCUAAAUCGAAGAGAUUGUGGAAUAUUUGUUAUGCAGGGUGUAAAAAGUGCUGGGAUCUCUGUGGAGCAUAUUUCUACCCUUAACAAAGACGAUUGUACAUUUCUUGUCGAUAGCCAAAGUGAACGUGGUAUAAAGUAUCUUGUUGACAUGACGCUGGGUUUAUGCAGUUGCACAGCUGGUCAAGAUGGCUCUCCAUGCUCACACCAAGCCGCUGUUGUUAAGCACUAUCACAUACCUGCUGUAAAUUGUAUUCCAACACUUUCACCCGAGUCGAGGCAGUUUAGCAGGCAUUGCUCUUGGUUUUAGUUCUGCAGUGCAAAGCUGUAAUUUUUACUCGUCUCUACACUAGAAAAAAGACGAGGAGGUGUCAGCACACAGUUCCCAUACUAAAGAAGUUGACAAUCCUAAUUUUAGUGGAACUGAAUGGGAUUUGAUUAGAGGGCUAGCAUCUGAGAAUGGCCAAGGUGAUACAACUACAUGUACAGACGUAGGUUUAGACACAGACAAAAUUGUGUCCGACAUGGAACAAAUCUUUGCUGACAUCACUGUUCGUAUCAAAGAAAGCUCUGUUGUUGCACAAGGAAUGGAAACGUUCAUUUAAGAGGUAUAAAGACAUGUCAAGUCGAGGAAAGUUUGCUAAUGCUGCCCUCGCAAGUUCCCUUCAUCGAUUUGGAUGGGUUUUUGGUAGGACAAUCAAAAAAUACUCAGGGGGGAUUUCUUCGUCGUGGUCGUCGAAUUCCAGUAAAUGCAAAAGCAUCUGGAAGACGACGUGGCACCCUCUCCAGAGGUAAAGCGAAAGUCACACCGGGAAGACCUAAGCACGCAUGCUAUCCUAGAACUAACACCAUGACCACCAGAAAGCCUGCUAAGGGAAAAAGACUACAUUCGCUAAGCGCUAAUACAGCUGUUGGAAUUCAAAAUGCUGGAAAGUGGUAGUGCACUAUCGUGAACUUUGGAAUAAUUAUCCAGGAUUUAAUUGCAACCUUUGACCUUUUAUUGCAUUCUUCAAAACCACAAGAUAUGGAAAUUAGCCUUCCGUGGCUAGGGUAUAAAUUUGGCUUGCUGCACUGGGUAUAGUAAGCUUUCCAAGCAGGCAAAUAAAGAACAGAAGCGCUAAGCUGCUAUAUGCAGCAAAGGUCAAGAACCCAGAACAAGAAUGUUUAAUCCUUCAUUAAACGUGACCCUAUUGACCCUGGCGUUCCUCCUCUGGUUACGUAUAUGCUCGAUCAGAGGCCGCUCUUGUAUAAAGGCCGCACUCAAAUAGUAGCCUCCCUUGCUAGCAAAAUGAAACAUUUAGUAGCCGCGGCUCCUGAUCAAGCAUAUACGGUAUGUCAUAUAUUUUUUGCCAAUGGUUUAUCUUUUGCAGGCAAGUCACGUCAUUUAACGCGAUGCAACCGUCAGCACUUUAUGUUACCUAGGCUGGCCUUUUGUGGUGAAUGUUCCACAGGAAGCCUUGUAUGUGCUGACUGUGAUAAAAUCUGUGUCUCUACA